rnacentral:rRNA from 1 species
GUGAGGAAUUUUGCGCAAUGGGGGAAACCCUGACGCAGCAACGCCGCGUGAGUGAUGAAGACCCUCGGGUCGUAAAGCUCUGUCAAGUGGGAAAAAAUACCUUCGGUUAAUAGCCGAAGGGGUUGAUGGUACCACUGGAGGAAGCACCGGCUAACUCCGUGCCAGCAGCCGCGGUAAUACGGAGGGUGCAAGCGUUGUUCGGAAUUACUGGGCGUAAAGGGCGUGUAGGCGGUUUGGCAAGUCAGAUGUGAAAGCCCUGGGCUCAACCCAGGAAGUGCAUUUGAAACUACCAUCCUAGAGUAUGGGAGAGGAGAGUGGAAUUCCCAGUGUAGAGGUGAAAUUCGUAGAUAUUGGGAGGAACACCGGUGGCGAAGGCGACUCUCUGGACCAAUACUGACGCUGAGACGCGAAAGCGUGGGGAGCAAACAGGAUUAGAAACCCGAGUAGUCC